rnacentral:rRNA from 1 species
GAUGAACGCUAGCGGGAGGCCUAACACAUGCAAGCCGAGCGGUAGAGUCUCUUCGUUGCCUUGAGAGCGGCGCACGGGGGCGGAACACGUGUGCAACCUUCCUUUAUCUGUGGGAUAGCCUUUCGAAGGGAAGAUUAAUACCCCAUAAUAUACUGGAUUUCAUCAUCUUGUAUUGAAAACUCCGGUGAAUAGAGAUGGCCCCGCUCAAGAUUAGAUAGUUGGUAAGGUAACGUCUCACCAAGUCAGCGAUCUUUAGGGGGCAUGAGAGGGGGAUCCACCAGACUGGUACUGAGACACGGACCAGACUCGUACGGGAGGCAGCGGUAAGGACUACUGGACAAGGGGUGAGAGCCUGAUCCAGCCAUCCCGGGUGAAGGACGACGGCGCUAUGGGUUCUCAGCUUCUUGUGAAUAGGGAUAAUCUUAGAUACGUGUAUCUAGCUGAAGGUACUAAACGAAAAAGCACCGGCUAACUACGUG